CUUGUGUUUAUAUUACAUUCCAAAACUGCAAUCACAUAACUGUAUUUUCUAUCAUGUAUUACCCCUGUCUGGAUUUUGACCGGUCAACGUGCGGUAAUAGUACUACUAAUCCAAUAUGCUUACAUUUUAUGGACAGUUCGUACUGUAAAUAUGAGUACUGGAACUUAAAAUACAACAUCAAUAAAAUAAAUGAUAUGUUUAUACAAGGUCAACAACAUCAAGCCAAUGAAAAAAAAUAUCAAUCAAAAAAAUCUUCAUGUAAUGCAUAUUUUUGAUAAAAAAUAUCCUUUAUCAAUAUGAAUUUU
rnacentral:lncRNA from 1 species